UUGGCGGCCUCUGCGCCUGCGCAGUCAGAAGGCGGAGGCCUGGGCUAGUUUAGGGCUUUCGGCGGCGGGUAGCAGGGGCGUCUGGAGAAGGGAAGGGAAAUGCGGUAGAGCAGGGCGCGCCUGGGUCCCCGACCCAGCCCCGAGUGAGCCCGAGGUAUUUUCCUUAUAUGAUCAGGCCUCACGCGGCCGGCACUGCUGGUCUGGAGCCUGAGAGGAUUAUGAAAACGUGGCAGGGUUUCCUGCUGUUCUGGAACUCGCCCAGUAGACCAGGCUAGCCUCGAACUAUGAGAUCUGCCUAAAUGCUGGCAUUAAAGGCACACUCCUCCACGCACGGCUUUAACCUAAUCAUUUCUCGUGAAAACUUACAGGAAUACUGAAAUGUGGAAAGGUUCGUGCAGGGAACCUACUGUUUGCUAUUUUACGUCUACCCAUUAAAACCUUAUUUUUU